rnacentral:rRNA from 1 species
UGGGGAACUUUACACAAUGGGCGAAAGCCUGAUGUAGCAACGCCGCGUGGAGGAUGACGGAUCUAGGUCUGUAAACUCCUUUUAUAAGGGAAGAAAUUUGACGGUACCUUAUGAAUAAGCACCGGCUAACUCCGUGCCAGCAGCCGCGGUAAUACGGGGGGUGCAAGCGUUACUCGGAAUCACUGGGCGUAAAGGGAGCGUAGGCGUUUUAUUAAGUCUUGAGUGAAAGCUCGCAGCUCAACCGCGGAACUGCUCAGGAAACUGAUAGAAUUGAGUAUGGAAGAGGUAGGUGGAAUUUCCGGUGUAGGGGUAAAAAUCCGUAGAUAUCGGAAGGAAUACCAGAAGCGAAGGCGACCUACUGGGACAUUACUGACGCUGAGGCUCGAAAGCGUGGGGAGCAAACAGGAUUAGAUACCCUGGUAGUCCACGCCCUAAACGAUGAACACUAGUCGUUACGGAGCUAGUCUCUGUAGUGACGCAGCUAACGCAUUAAGUGUUCCGCCUGGGGGAGUACGGUCGCAAGAUUAAAAACUUAAAGGAAUUGACGGGGGUCAAUAGCUGUUUCC